rnacentral:lncRNA from 1 species
GCCGGGCCGCGUCGGGCUCGGCUCCUCCGAACCGUCUGGCGGACUUGGCACCGGCCCCCGCUCCUCAGUGCCCCCGCGGUGCGUGGCAGGCUGUGGCUUCAUUAUCCUGAUUGAUUCCUCCUGCUCCCCGACACCGUGGGGGCCCCGGCCAAGGAAGGGGGAGGGAAGCGGCAUCUGCGGGGCCCAUUCCCGUUCCUCCACCCAGCCGCUCCUCGGGCUGCCCGGCUACCGACCCUCGGCGCCCCGCGGCGGCCAGUCGGAUGGGGCGGGGUGGCAGCAUCCCCCAGAAUCAGAAAGGUGUCUGGGUGGGGAGGGAGAAUGGAGCUGGACUGAGAACUGAGAAGAGCAAGACCCGGCAGAAUGGGAAAGGUGACAUCUCUGAGAAGCGGGGUCUCCUGGGCAUCCAAGUAUACUUCUCAAGUGACAAGUCAUGGGUACGGUCUGCCCAGAAACUGCAGGAGCUUUAAGCAGGAGGACCCGUCCUCAGAAUCGGGCCUAACAGUCUCCCCACUAGGGUCCCAUCUAAGGACCUGGUAAAUCUUCUAUAUGGGACCCUCGGAGUAACUCGCAACCACAUCCUGGGAAAGGGGCAAUUGUUGGAGCGCUUGAGGCCAUUUCUUCCAGAGCUGUGACUGGUGUUGUUGAACACACUUGAAGUCACCGCUGCAGUUUUGAUGCCUCUGUCUAGAUCUGUCUCUUCUGUGAAUCCAUUCAUUCCUUUUCCGAUCCACAUUUACUGGACCAGUAGGUGACAGUGUGAGAAUGGACACCCAUGGGGGUGGGGCAGGAAGAGUGCCACUCUGAGUCUCUCUUCUGGUACAGAGGGAUCUGCUGUAGCAGGAUCUCCCAGAUUCUACAAUAUCAGGACGCUUUUCCUUCUGAACACACUCUUGACGUAGAUUCACUCGGGGGAGGGGGCGAUCAUAAAAUCUGAGGCUGUGGCUCUUGUUCUCUGUUUUUAUUGGGAUUGCCUAUUUUUAGCCGCCAGCCCUGAGCACUAAGAAUACAAACCGUGUGAACCCCUCCAUGUGGAGUCUCCAGGCAGAAGAGGAAGCCAUGGCCGCCUAGUGGCUGCCAGGGAGGCUGGCAGGAAGGGGCUUCAUCAGACAUCUCCUGGGAAACAGUGAACUCCCCAUAGAAAGGACAUUUGACAGUAAAAUUCCUGUCUAUGGAAACACCGGAGGGAUCCAAUCCACCCCUCUUAGACUGGGAACAGAAACCAGGAAUCCACAGACAGAAUCAGAAGCGUUUAAGUAAAAGCAAGAG